AACGUUGUUGCAGUUAAAAAGCUCGUAGUUGAAGUGAAGUGUGAAUCUCUAGGAUUUUCGUUUGAAUUUCCUUUAGCUUCAUACUCUUUCCAAAUAGUUUGCAUGGGUAUUUACUUAUCUGUGUAUUGCAUUUGGUCAUUUACUGUGAGAAAAUUAGAGUGUUCAAAGCAUACGUUUGUUUGAAUACAUUAGCAUGGAAUAAUUCGAAAAGGCUUUCAUGUUCGAUUUGAUUGGUUUGUUCGUGAAGGCAAGAUUAAAAGGGACAGUUGGGGGUAUUCAUAUUCAAUAGUCAGAGGUGAAAUUCUCGGAUUUAUGGAAGAUGAACUAGUGCGAAAGCAUUUACCAAGGAUGUUUUCAUUAAUCAAGAACGAAAGUUAGGGGAUCGAAGAGGCUUAGAUACCCUCGUAGUCUUAACUAUAAACGAUACCGACUAGGGGUUAGUGGAGGUCAUUUGUCUCUACUAGUACCUUAUGAGAAAUCAAAGUCUUUGGGUUCCGGGGGGAGUAUGGUCGCAAGGCUGAAACUUAAAGGAAUUGACGGAAGGGCACCACCAGGAGUGGAGCCUGCGGCUUAAUUUGACUCAACACGGGGAAACUUACCAGGUCCAGACAUAGGAAGGAUAGACAGAACAAAGCUCUUUCUUGAUUCUAUGGGUGGUGGUGCAUGGCCGUUCUUAGUUGGUGGAUUGAUUUGUCAGGCUAAUUCCGAUAACGAACGAGACCUCCGCCUACUAAAUAGAAAGUUAUAAUUCGUUAUAUCUUUCUUCUUAGAGGGACACUAUACAUGAAGUGUAGGGAAGCUGGAGGCAAUAACAGGUCUGUGAUGCCCUUAGAUGUCCUGGGCUGCACGCGCGCGACACUGAUUGAUUCAACAAGUGGCUGAUUUGAAAGAAUUGGC
rnacentral:rRNA from 1 species